AUUGAACGCUGGCGGCAGGCCUAACACAUGCAAGUCGAACGGUAACAGGAAGAAGCUUGCUUCUUUGCUGACGAGUGGCGGACGGGUGAGUAAUGUCUGGGAAACUGCCUGAUGGAGGGGGAUAACUACUGGAAACGGUAGCUAAUACCGCAUAAUGUCGCAAGACCAAAGAGGGGGACCUUCGGGCCUCUUGCCAUCGGAUGUGCCCAGAUGGGAUUAGCUAGUAGGUGGGGUAACGGCUCACCUAGGCGACGAUCCCUAGCUGGUCUGAGAGGAUGACCAGCCAACCCGGGACGGGAGACCGGGCCGAGCCCCCGAGGGGGGGAGAAGGGGGGGAAUUUUGAAGAAGGGGGGAAAGCUUAAUACAGUUUGCCGGGGGGAAGGAAGAGGGCCUUCGGUUUGAAAAGUACUUCCGGGGGGGGGGAGGGAAAAAAAUUUAAUCCUUUCGCUCAUUGACGUUACCCGAAAAAGAAGCCCGGGCUAACCCCGUC
rnacentral:rRNA from 1 species